rnacentral:rRNA from 1 species
AUUGAACUCUGGCGGCAGGCUUAACACAUGCCAGUCGAGCGAGCGGCGGACGGGUGAGUAAUGUCUGGGAAACUGCCUGAUGGAGGGGGAUAACUACUGGAACCGGUAGCUAAUACCGCAUACCAUCAGAUGUGCCCAGCUGGGAUUAGCUAGUAGGUUGGGUAAUGGCUCACCUAGACGACGAUCCCUAGCUGGUCUGAGAGGAUGACCAGCCACACUGGAACUGAGCAACGGUCCAGACUCGUACGGGAGGCAGAAGUGGGGAAUAUUGCACAAUGGGCACAAGCCUGAUGCAGCCAUGCCGAGUGUGUGAAGAAGGCCUGCGGGUUGUAAAGCACUUUCAGCGAGAAGGCGUUACUCGAAGAAGAAGCACCGGAUAACUCCGUGCCAGCAGCCGCGGUAAUAC